GAUUUCGUAGCUCAAUGAUAGAAUACCGGGCUGUUAAACGGGAAGUUGAAAGUCCGGAUCUUUUCGGAAUCG
rfam:Chryseobacterium gallinarum strain DSM 27622, complete genome.